rnacentral:rRNA from 1 species
UACGAAGGGUGCAAGCGUUACUCGGAAUUACUGGGCGUAAAGCGUGCGUAGGCGGUUUCCUAAGUCGGAUGUGAAAGCCCUGGGCUCAACCUGGGAAUGGCACUCGAUACUGGGAAGCUGGAGUGCGGUAGAGGAGGGUGGAAUUCCCGGUGUAGCGGUGAAAUGCGUAGAGAUCGGGAGGAACAUCAGUGGCGAAGGCGACCCUCUGGACCAGCACUGACGCUGAGGCACGAAAGCGUGGGGGGCAAACAGG